UACGUAGGGGGCAAGCGUUAUCCGGAUUUACUGGGUGUAAAGGGAGCGUAGGUGGUUCUGUAAGUCAGAUGUGAAAGCCCGUGGCUCAACUGCGGGACUGCAUUUGAAACUAUAGGACUGGAGUGCAGGAGAGGUAAGUGGAAUUCCUAGUGUAGCGGUGAAAUGCGUAGAUAUUAGGAGGAACACCAGUGGCGAAGGCGGCUUACUGGACUGUAACUGACACUGAGGCUCGAAAGCGUGGGGAGCAAAC
rnacentral:rRNA from 1 species